ensembl:lncRNA
AGAGUGUCGGAGGUGGUGAAGAAGAGAGUGGUAGAUAUGCUCUUCAGCUGGACACUCUCUUUACCCGAUGAGGCCAAGAUCAGUGAAGCUUAUCAAAUGCUGAAGAAACCAAGGUAUUGUCGCUGUUGACCCUGAGGUUCCUCUGGAUAAGACACUGAUGCCGUCGCCCUACUCCCGGCCCAAGAACCCUGUGUUUGAGAACGAGGAGAAGAGCAAGACGCACAAUUGAAAGCAUCCUGUCGGGCUAUAUCAACGCCUGGUACGUCAACUGCACUGCCCGCAACCGCAAGGCUCUCCAGAGGGUGGUGUGGUCUGUCCAACCCAUUACCGGGGCAAUCUACCCUCCCUCCAGGACAGCUACAGCACCCGAUGUCACAGGAAGGACAAAAAGAUCAAGGACAUCAACCACCUGAGCCACUGCCUGUUCACCCCACUAUCAUCCAGAAGGCAAGGUCAGUUCAGGUGCAUCAAAGCUGGGACCAAGAGACUUAAAAACAGCUUCUAUCUCAAGGCCAUCAGACUGUUAAACAGCCAACACUAGCACAUUAGAGGCUACUGCUUAUAGGCAUAGACUAGAAAUCACCGGACACUUUAAGGAACAGAACACUAGUCACUUUAAUAAUGUUUACAUAUCUGGCAUUACUAAUCUCCAUAUGUAUAUACUGUAUUCUAUACUAUUCUACGGUAUCAUAGUCACUUAAUAAUAUUUACAUAUCCUGCAUUCUCAUCUCAUAUGUAUAUUCUGUUUUCUAUACUAUUCUACGGUAUCUCAUUCACUUAAUAAUGUUUAAAUUUCUUGCAUUACUCAUCUCAUAUGUAUAUACUGUAUUCGAUACUAUUCUACUGUAUCUUAGUCCGUUCCGCCCUGACAUCGCUCGUCCAUAUGUAUAUAGUCUUAACUCAUUCCUACUUAGUGUCACAGCUGCUUCUGAACCGCCCUCUACUGCUCAUCCUGUGUCUCCUUGACCUGCCACAACUCCCCAAGUACUCUCUCCCUCUCUCUCUCCGUGUGUGUGAUUGUGUGGGGGCGGAGACAGGUGUGCUGGAGUCAGAGCAGAUCCUCACCAGCUGCAACCUGUUCCAUAAUCAAGACCUCUACAAAUACUCAGCCCUGCCACGUCCAGAUCGUAAUCUCUGCUCAGUCAGUCUACGCUUCUAGCCGUUUAUGAUGAUUAGAGCAUGUUUUCCUGUUUUUCUUGCCUGAUGCUGUUUUCCUCCCUGCUACAGUUCCGCCUGCUCUGACUCUGCUCCCUGUCUCCAGUUCCACAUCUCAUCAUCUUGCUACUCUGUCCUGGAUUCCACACUCUAUUACUCCCUUGGAUUCCCCUCCGGAACUACCUACCCUGUCCCAACCCCUCUCGCUCCAGCCUCAGACUCCACACCUGGUUUCCUGCAACCUACCCGAACUUCCCCUGGCCUGCACUCCAUCGUCCCCCUGUGUUUCAAUAAAUACCUUGG